rnacentral:lncRNA from 1 species
UGGUCGGCCAUGAGGGUAUGGGAUACAAAGCAUAUGCAUUUUGUAUUAAUAUUAUAAUGACUACAUGGUUUUAUAAUAGAAAAUAAGUAUUAAAAAAAACAUAUUAAAGACAUUUUAUGCUAAUAUGUGUGGGAAGAAUAAUAAAAUAUGAGGGGAGUGGGAGGAGAAACCAAAGUUGUCUCCCCCUUACUCCCCAUUGCCGUGACUAGAGAAAGGGGAGGAAAAACAAAAUUCUUCCUUUGUUGUUCAACAUGGCCGAAUGGAAGGAAGAAGAAGAGGGGAAGUUCGGCCAAGGUGGUUCUUGAGAUUAAGGUAUGUUCAAUGCUGCUUUUGGAGGUUUACACAUCCUUUGGAGGGUUAGCCUACUUCUAUUUAUCUCAUGGAUGAAAUUAGAGUUGUUGGAGAGUUAGGAUUCGGCUAAGAGGCUUCAAAAUUUUAGUUGAUGCCUUGAUACUACUAGCAUGUUAGCUAUAUGGAUGUGUUAAAUUACUUGAAAUACUAGAUAAAUUUAAACUCCCAACCAAAUUCUUUAGGCAACCCAUGUUAAAAAUUUCGGUAUUGAGAUGUCUAGAUCUUUCGGCCAUUGUAGCUAUGGAGGAAUAAAGUUUUUGUUUCUUGUUAAAUUGGAUGAAUCUUGUUGUAUGAGUGCUUAAACAAACUAUGAUUAAAUGGAUGCAUAAAUUCAAAGUGGGAAGAAAUGGGCUAUUAUAUUUGAUGUUAAUGCCGAAUAUGAAGAUGAUGAACUUGAAUAAAUAAUAUUCAGCUAGCAUGAUAAGUUAUGAAAUAUUAAGUAGAUGAUAUAAUUGAUUGAUGAAGUGGCUAAUAAGAAUUUCUAAUGAAAUUGUUGCCAAGGCCGAAUGUAUCAUGAAGUAAAUUUGUUUGAUUUAGCUCAAGAGCCUAGAGGAUCAAAGUUGGAUAAGGGAAAGGAAAAAAGUGAUCGAAGAGCCGUCGUAAUCGUUCGGCAACUUUCGAGGUAAGUUUUAAGUGUUUAAACGUUGAGUAAAUUCAAUUAUAAUAAGACGUGAUGAGCUGAUUUAAUAAGAUAUGAUGUGGCCAUGAUAUGUUCUAAGCUCAAAUGGUAAGUUCUUAAGUGUUUGAGCUUGGGAAUUUAAAGGUAAUUUGAAAUAGUCUGCUUCGGACAGUAGCAGUAACGUGAAUUUAGAAAAUCACCAUAAAUUUAUGGACUUGAAUUAGAGGCUGAAUGAGACAUGAAAUUAAAUCUUAAUGAGUCUAGUUUUUUAUAAAAGAAACCGUGUAAGCAAAGGAAUUUCCGAUAAUGAGAUAUUUAAAGUUGUGUGAGACGGUGUCAGAAUGACUCUGAAAUCCCCUGUUCUGUUUUUAGAAAAACAUUAUAAAUUGUACAAAAAUGGUUAUAAGAUAAAAUUUAUAUGCUUAAACUCCUUAAUGAGUUUAGUUUCAAAUAAAAUCAAAUACAACACAUUUUGAAUUCUGUAAAAUGAGAAAUUUGAUUCGUAGUGAAGAGUGGUCAGAUUAGUCAAACAGUGGAACAGGGGAAACUUUAAGAAAAAUCUGGUAUUGAUUGGCCAAACCUAAAAUUCUGGAAAUUUUAUUGAUGGAAGAUAUACGAGUCUAUAUUCAAGAAAAAUUAACGGAAAGUGAUUUGGAGUUUUGUAGCUCCAGUUAUAAAUGAUUUAGUAACUAUUGCUCAGGAAAAACAGCUUGUGCUGAAUUUGAGAUUGUGUUGUAAACUUUGAUAAGCUUGUUCUAGUUGCUCAUAAGCUAUCGAUUAAACCCAUAUAUGAAUUCUAAAUUGUGAUAUUGGAAAAUGAUAGAUGUAGAUUCAGCCAAGAGAGUAUGUGUGAUAAGGCCUAAUAGCCGAUGUGAUGAAUGUGAAAGUGUAUGUAUAUGUGAUAAGGCCUAAUGGCCGAUGUGAUGAAUGUGAAAGUGUAUGUAUAUAUGUGAUAAGGCCUAAUGGCCGAUGUGAUGAAUGUGAAAGUAUAUGUAUAUAUGUAAUAAGGCCUAAUAGCCGAUGUGAUGAAUGUGAAAGUGUAUAUGUGUGAUAAGGCCUAAUAGCCGACGUGAUGAAUGUGAAAGUUUAUGUGUGAUAAGGCCUAAUAGCCGAGGUGAUGAAUGUGAAAGUGUAUGUAUAUAUGUAAUAAGGCCUAAUAGCCGAUGUGAUGAAUGUGAAAGUGUAUGUAUAUAUGUAAUAAGGCCUAAUAGCCGAUGUGAUGAAUGUGAAAGUGUAUAUGUGUGAUAAGGCCUAAUAGCCGACGUGAUGAAUGUGAAAGUGUAUAUAUGUAAUAAGGCCUAAUUGCCGAUGUGAUGAAUGUGAAAGUGUAUAUAUAAGAUAAGGCUUAAUGGCCGAUGCGAUGAAUGUGAAAGUGUAUUUGUGUGAUAAGGCCUAAUAGCCGACGUGAUGAAUGUGAAAGUGUAUAUGUGUGAUAAGGCCUAAUAGCCGACGUGAUGAAUGUGAAAGUGUAUAUAUGUAAUAAGGCCUAAUGGCCGAGGUGAUGAAUGUGAAAGUAUAUAUAUGUGAUAAGGCCUAAUGGCCGAUGUGAUGAAUGUGAAAGUAUAUGUAUAUAUGUAAUAAGGCCUAAUAGCCGAUGUGAUGAAUGUGAAAGUGUAUAUAUGUGAUAAGGCCUAAUGGCCGAUGCGAUGAAUGUGAAAGUGUAUAUAUGUGAUAAGGCCUAAUGGCCGAUGUAAUAAAUGUGAAAGUGUAUAUAUGUGACAGGGCCGAGUGGCCAACGUAAUGGAUGUGAAAGUGCAUAAAUGUGAUAAGUCCCGAAAGGCAUUUGUGUCAGUACUAUAUCCGGGUUAAAACCCCGCAGGCUUUAUGCGAGAAUAUUAUCACUGAUUAAUGUUCUUAAGCUUCGUGCUUGUACUAUAUUCGAGCUCUAAAGACCCGAUGACUACGUGUGGGGAUUUUGUCCGGAUAAGACCCGAUAACUUCGUGUGGAGAUUAUGUCCGGGUAAGACUUCGUAAUAAGAAUUGCUUAUAAAUAUAUUCAAUGCGAAAGGUUAAACAGGUAUGUACUUCAAGUUUAUAUGUGAGCUUGAUUUGCACUAAAUCAUAAGGUAGUUAUGUGAUGCAUACGAAAGCAAUCUAUGAGACUAUUCCUAUGAUUAUGUGACAUCGGAUCAGUGUGAGAGGUGAUGUGAAAUCAUACGAUAUAUCUAUGUCACAUGAGUUCACUUUUAUGUGAAAGUUUAUCUGCCUAUUGUAUAUGAUGAGAUGUGCAGAUUCGGUAAAGGGAUGGUAUGCCCGAAGGAAGAGUGAAAUAAAAAUACGAACAACUAUGUUAUAAUUUGAUUGUUAUCUGUUGACACUGCUUAAAACUUACUAAGCAUUGUAAUGCUUACUCCGUUUACUCUGUUUCCUCUAUUUUAUAGAUCUCAUUGCGAAGCUACAGGCUCGGGGAUCGUCAGCAACUAGUCACACUAUCACUAUCCACUGUUUGGUACUGCUAUGUUUCGGAUUGUCUUAUGGCAUGUAUAAAAUAGACUAGUGGCGGAAGAAUAUUUUGGUUAAUGUAUAUAGCCAUGCGAAAAUGGCUUAUAUAUGUUUGAGCAUAAUGUUAUAAUCAUUUGGUAUGGAAUGGUUAAUCGCUAUCAUGAUUUGUGCUAUUUAUGCUAAAAGGGCUAGUUGAAUCAUGGAAACUAUGAAAUAGGUAAAGUCUACCUUAAAGGCAGAUGCUGGCAGCAGCAGUGAUGUAGAUUUGGAAAAUCACUAAAAAUAGUAGGAUUGGAAUUAAAUAGCGAAUAAAUUAUGUAAACGAACCCUGAUGAAUCUAUUUUCAUAGGAAAGUAACGAAAUGAUCAUAUGGACAGUAUGUUAAGAGAUAUUCAGGUUCUCGUGAGAAAGCGCCAGAACGGUUUCUGGAUUCCCUGUUACGACUUUGGAAAUUCAUUAUAAAUUAACCAGAGAUAAUUAGGAGUCAUUCCACAUAUGUAUGGAUUCUUCUCUGAGUCUAGUUUCUAUAUAAACAAACGGCAUCAGUAUUGAAACCCUGUGUAGGGAGAUAUCCAAGUCGUAAUGCGCAAAGGUCAGUGUAGUCGAUCCCUGUAACAUGGGAGACUUUGACUAAUAAACUGUACUAAUUGGCCUGACCAAAAAUUCUAAAAAAAAAUAUGUAGAUGGGCAUAUGAGUCUAGUUUGAGGGAAAAAUUACGAAAUUGAUUUUCAAGUUGUGAAACUCAAGAUAUGAUUUUUAAAGCGACUAGUAUGCAGAUUGGCAGUGUCUGGGAAUUUUUUUUUAUAAGUGGUUAAAGUCUGCUAACACCUCGUGUUCGACUCCGGUGACGGUCUCGGGUUCGGGGUGUUACAUUUGAUUGGUAUCAGAGCUACGGUUUAGUCGAUUCUAGGACUAACGUAGCACGCGUGAGUCUAUUUAUACAUGCCAUAAAGUGAUAAAAUGAUAGUGUGAUGAUUUUUUAGCUAUUAAAAUGUGUUUGCUGUAUUGUAAUGAAUCUUGAUCCCGAUCGAGCUGUAGCAAGCUUCUGACUAUGAGAAUUUGCGAUAUAACUUCAUUUAGAUAUGCCUAAAUUAUUAAGUUGAUCAGGUACGUAUCAUGUACUCGUAUUUGAAUUUCGAUUUGGAUUGAAUUAUAAGGGUAUAAGUGAUGCAAUUUUGAAGGAGUGUUAUGACUAUAAAUGUGAUUUUUGUAUGUGGCUAUGGAACUGGAAGUUGAAUGGUCGAUAAGCAUGUUGUGUUUGUAUUCAUGUAAUGUAAAUGAUAUACUAAUGUGUAUUGCUAUAUGUGUAUAUGUAUGUAGAGACGAAAUUGUCGAAUGUAAAAAGGCAGUGAAGUGUAUAGAGUGGUUGGUUUUCAGCACUAAGUGUGCGGGAAAUAAGUGUUCACGGUUGUGAGAUUGGCACUAAGUGUGCGGGCAAUAAGUGUUCACGGUUGUGAGAUUGGCACUAAGUGUUCACGGUUGUGAGAUUGGCACUAAGUGUGCGGGCAAUAAGUGUUCACGGUUGUGAGAUUGGCACUAAGUGUGCGGGCUUGAAAUGCAUGGCACUAAGUGUGCGAGUUUAAAGUACAUGGCACUAAGUGUGCGUGGUUGAUUAUUAAGCACUAUGUGUGCGAACCCACUAUAUAUAUACAUAUUUUCUAUCAAUUAUUUAUAUUACGGGUGCGACCUUACCGAGUCGAUUUCGGACAGCGAAAAGGGGUAAGUUCUUGAGUAAUAGAGCUUAAAUUAUGAUUUGAUUAGAUCAUGUUUUAAGCAAAUCAAAAUCAUGCUCUUUGUGUAUGGCUAUUGAGCCGAAAUUGCAAGAAUGAUAAGUGUCUUGUGUUUGAGUUUUGCUAACGAAAAUGAAAUACGAAUGUGCCAUGAUUUGUUGUUAAAUGUGCAUGGUUAUUUGAAUGAUGUCCGGGCUAAGUCCCGAAGGCUUUGUGCUAAGUGACCAUAUCCGGACUAAGACGCGAAGGCAUUGGUGCGAGUUACUAAAUCCGGGCUAAGUCCCGAAGAGCAUUCAUGCUAGUGAUGUAUUCGGGCUAAGUCCCGAAGAGCAUUCAUGCUAGUGAUGUAUCCGGGCUAAGUCCCGAAGAGCAUUCAUGCUAGUGAUGUAUCCGGGCUAAGUUCCGAAGAGCAUUCGUGCUAGUGAUAUAUCCGUGCUAAACCCCGAAGAGCAUUCGUGCUGGUGUUAUGUCCGGGCUAGGUCCCGAAGAGCAAUCAUGCUGGUGACGUGUAUUCGGGCCUUCGUGCCUAGUAGGCUUCGUGCCGGUAAUUUGAGCAAAGUUUAAGUAUUCAUUACUAUACGAAUUCAAAUUUAAAUGAGAUGAUAUGUUUAAAAGUGUUCAUACAUGAUGUUUAUAGACUUGGUUAAGUCAUUUCAAUGUGUAAUAACGAAUGAAUAAGAGCACUAUGUGUGUGAAUGAUUAGAGGCACUGUGUGUGUGCGAAUUCCUUUAACCGAGCACUAUGAGUGCGAGAUCGGUCAGUGGGCACUAAGUGUGUGAAGUGGAAUUCAUGUAAGACCUCGUUUGGGACGAAGGCAUUGAUUUGAGAUAGUGUGUAAGACCAUGUCUGGGACAUGGCAUCGGCUCGAUAUGUGAGAAUAUGUAAGACCAUAUCUAGGAUAUGGCAUUGUAAGAGCUAUAUGUACUAUUGCUGAAUGGACACUAUUUUGUUAAUCUUGUUUAAGAAAUUAUUUUGAUUAAGUUUCGACAUUCGAAAGUUUGAAAGAAUUUUUGAUGAAUGUUGAUAAUUUUUGAUAUACGAGUUAUGUGCUAGAAUAAAUCUCAUGCCAGUGUAUUAUAUUAGGCUUUAUGCCUAUUCGACUGUAUACGGGUAACGUUAACUAUGAUUGAAUGUGCUAAAUGAACUAAAUGUUCAGGUACGUGGAAGUUGACUUUUCUUUUGGAAAUGAGUUAAGUUGAAUAUUGAGAUGUGAUAGAGUUAUAAAGGAUAUUUAUUGGGAUGUUUGAGUAUAUGUGUACUUUCGGUUAGGUUACAGCUUAUUCAUGAAUGAAAAUGUGGGUUACAAAUAUGUGGGUUGAUAAUGUGAAUUAUACAUGUUAAUAUGUGUUUGAAAUGCAUUUGUGAAUUAAGUUAAGUGAUUAUUGCUUAUGAAAUCAAGAAAAUGAGAUAUUUGUGCAUACUUGUAGAAAUGUUUAUGUAUUUGUUUUAAGAUAAGAAAAUGAUUUUAUAGACCGAUGCGAAAUCAAUAAUGAAUUAUAAUUGCUAUCAAUGAGCUAAUGUCUUUGUGGAUAUAAUUCAAUAAGAGGACGUUAUCCUAAACUAUGCAUUGGUAGAAAUUUUCGGGGACGAAAAUUUCUUAAGGGGGGGAGAGUUGUGACACCCCUAAAGUGACCCUAGUCGGAAAGUGGUUUCGGGACCACUAAACCGAGUCAUAAAGAUAAUUAACCGUCAUAGUUGAUGCUCAUUAUAUGUACAUAUGCAUGUGUGAAAAUUUCAUGUUUGAAUUUUAUUAAUGGUAAGUGAAUUUUAUCAAAUAGGACUUAUGUGAGAAAAUUUGAAAAUGUGCUAGGCAAAUGUAAAGUGGCCUAAUAAUGCAUGUUGUGAAAUGAUGGGUUUGCAUGUCAAAUUCCCCACUUUAGAGGAAGUGGCCGGCCAUGAGGGUAUGGGAUACAAAGCAUAUGCAUUUUGUAUUAAUAUUAUAAUGACUACAUGGUUUUAUAAUAGGAAAUAAGUAUUAAAAAAAACAUAUUAAAGACAUUUUAUGCUAAUAUGUGUGGGAAGAAUAAUAAAAUAUGAGGGGAGUGGGAGGAGAAACCAAAGUUGUCUCCCCUUACUCCCCAUUGCCGUGACUAGAGAAAGGGGAGGAAAAACAAAAUUCUUCCUUUUUUGUUCAACAUGGCCGAAUGGAAGGAAGAAGAAGAGGGGAAGUUCGGCCAAGGUGGUUCUUGAGAUUAAGGUAUGUUCAAUGUUGCUUUUGGAGGUUUACACAUCCUUUGGAGGGUUAGCCUACUUCUAUUUAUCUCAUGGAUGAAAUUAGAGUUGUUGGAGAGUUAGGAUUCGGCUAAGAGGCUUCAAAAUUUUAGUUGAUGC